UCCGCCCCGCUACUAUCGCGAGAGCUGCCAGGAUCACGUGAGAGGGGAGCCUCGGCGGGCACCGCCCGCUCACGCCUGUCACAUGACAGCGAGUCCCGCUCCGGUUGGUAACUACCUGGUACAAAAACCAAAAAGGAAAGCUGCAUUACUGGCAAUAAAAACUCCAAGCCUGCUUUCUCUCUGGCCACAAAAAAGAAGGCAGGCCUUUUGCAUUAUAUAACAACUAAGAACUCUAAGGGGCAGUUAUGCUAAGUUGAAACUUCAACCAGGGACAUCUCAGAAAGGAUCUGCAACAACUUCCAUUUUUUGCUACAUUCUUGCAUCUAUGUUUCUGGAGGCCCCUGAUAAUUAAGUAGGCAGUUUCCAGCUUUAAAGAGCUAUAAUAAACGUUGACAACUCUUUAUUCAGACUGACUCAGUCUUUUAUGCAUCCGAUGAAGUGAGCUGUAGUUUAUGCUCAAAUAAAUUGGUUAGUCUCUAAGGUG